UACGAAGGUCCCAAGCGUUAUCCGGAUUCACUGGGUUUAAAGGGUGCGUAGGUGGGCUGGUAAGUCAGUGGUGAAAUCCCCGAGCUUAACUUGGGAACUGCCAUUGAUACUAUCAGUCUUGAAUACCGUGGAGGUCAGCGGAAUAUGUCAUGUAGCGGUGAAAUGCUUAGAUAUGACAUAGAACACCAAUUGCGAAGGCAGCUGGCUACACGAAUAUUGACACUGAGGCACGAAAGCGUGGGGAUCAAACAGG
rnacentral:rRNA from 1 species